rnacentral:rRNA from 1 species
ACGGGGGAUGCAAGCGUUAUCCGGAAUUAUUGGGUGAAAAGGGGGAGGAGGCGGUUUGAUAAGUCAGCGGUGAAAUAUUUCAGCUUAACUGAAAGGGUGCCGUAGAUACUGUCAGGCUUGAAUAUGGUUGAUGUGGGUGGAAUGUGCGGUGUAGCGGUGAAAUGCUUAGAUAUCGGGCGGAAUACCGGUUGCGAAGGCGGCUCACAGGGCCGUUAUUGACGCUGAUGCACGAAAGUGUGGGGAGCGAACAG